rnacentral:rRNA from 1 species
AUGCCCACGCCGGCGCCGCACCUCGUCGACGAGAUCCUGGAGGAGAUCUUCCUCCGCCUGCCCACCCCGGCCGAGCUCGCCCGCGCCUCAACCGCCAGCCCCCGUUUCCGCCGCAUCAUCACCGACCGCUCCUUCCUCCGCCGCCACCGCAAACUCUACCCACCUCCUCUCCUAGGCCUCGUACACCAGGAUAGCGGCUUCCAGCCAGCCGAGGCGCCCCAGGCCUCCGCCCCGCUCGCUCGCGCCCUCGCCGACGCCGCUGAUUUCACCUACUCCUUCGUCCCCGUGCGGCCGUGCGCAGCAAGGGCAUCCCCUGGCAAGUCCGCGACGGCCGCGUCCUCCUUGAGGACUGCCGAUUUUUGGAGACCCUCAAAGACAUGGCGGUGUGUGAUCCCUUGUCACGGCGCUACGUGCUGCUCCCGCCCAUACCGACGGACCUCGCUGUCCAGGAAGAGCACCCACUUGAUAUGGUGCCCAUCCUUGCUCCCAUUGGCGAUGAUGAAGAUGAGAUGUCGUUCAAGGUGA